UUGGGUUCGUUACUAUACAAAUUUCUGUGGAAAUAUAGUUAAAUCAUUCAAGAUAAAUUAUUCAUAUCAUUAAACAAGCUUGUAUAAAUGUUAUCUACAUGAUAUUCUUUUUAAUAUGUUUCUUCUUCAGAAGCCUAAAGAAACUGUUCCAACUCUUGCUCCAAAAACUCUUUCAGUAGCAGCAGCUUUUAAUGAAGAUGAAGAUAGUGAACCAGAGGAAAUGCCUCCAGAAGCAAAGAUGAGGAUGAAGAAUAUUGGAAGGGAUACACCAACAUCAGCUGGACCAAACUCCUUCAAUAAAGGAAAGCAUGGGUUUUCUGAUAACCAGAAGCUGUGGGAGCGAAAUAUAAAAUCUCAUCUUGGAAAUGUCCAUGACCAAGACAAUUAAAUGAUGUUUUGAAAUUGGGGUGUGGGGUGGGUGUAAAGUUAAAAGGAACAGUUUCCUUUUUUAAAGAAUGGUAUAAGACUAUCUUUGGAGCCGCUUUUUUUUUCUUUUUCAUUUUUUUAAAAGAUUGAGUGGUACACUAAUAAAUGAGAGUUUGAAAUUAGAGGUAAUUUAUGUUUUAUAUACAGAUUUCAAGACAUUUGCUAAUUUUGUAGUUUCAUGUGAUUAGUUUCCAAAGGUUACAGAUAAUAAAGAAAUCAGAAAUGGUACCUUUUUAAGAAUUGCAUAUUUUUUUAGACACAACUAUUAGUACAUUAAGAGGGAAGCAAAGUUACUGUCUAUUUAAAACUGCAAGCAGUUAACUCUCUUAACUCCCUUAUUACCUAAACUUGUCUGGCUCCCAGGAACAGCCUUAUAGAGAGAGGGAGUAUUGUAUUGGGAAGAAAAUGUUACUGAACUAUUGACUGAAAGUAAAUUUAGAUAAAAUACAGCUUUUUUCCUUAUGGGCAUUUGUUUUGUUUCAAGUCAUCAUAAACUAGGUAUUGCAUUGCUAUCCGUGGAUACAGACGCUUAGCUCUUAAAAGAUUUUUUUUUUAUGUAAACUGUUGAAUAUUUGAAAUAGUCCACUUCACCUUAAUGGGUCUUGUCUAUCUUCAUUAGUCUUCAAAGAAAAACCAUUUGCUACCAAAGUAAAUCAGUAUUUUGAAUGUGCUUCUCUUGUUUUUUGUUUAUUAGCUAGUUCCUGUAAGCAUUUCCACCAGAACUUGAGGCAAAUCGUAAGGAAGCUGUUUCUUUUAAAACACAAACCACCACCAAAAAUUUAAAUGUACAUAUUGCUUAAGUAUUUGGCUGUUUUUAUUUUUUAAAAGGUAUAAACACC
rnacentral:lncRNA from 1 species